rnacentral:misc_RNA from 1 species
GUGGUGGCCUAUUUGAAAUACCUAAUUGGCUUGCCUCCAUUGAAAACCUUACGAGUCUAGAAUUAAGUUAUUCUAAUCUCUUGGAGAAUCCAUCUUCAAUUCUUCAGUUUCUUCCUAAAUUAAAACGUCUCUUUUUAAGUAAAGCCCACAAGGCAAAGAUAAUUGGUAAAGAGUUUUGCGAGGCAGGUGGAUAUCCGGAGCUAGAAACGUUGUCCAUUAUAUCAAGGGAUCUAGUGGAGUGGACUGAGAUUGUAAAUGGGGCAUUUCCAAGUUUGAAGAGGCUUAAGUUUGAAUUUUGUUGUAAUUUGAGGUUUCUUCCAGAAGGUUUGCAGCAUGUCUCUACGAUUCAAGAGCUUUAUUUACGGGAAUGUCAUGGGGACCUGACAAGAAAAUUGAGAGGCGUAGAAAAUUACAAGAUCAAGCAUAUUUCAAAAUUUUAUUGGGACAUGCCAAUUUCCUGAGGAAGUCACUGGAGGAAGCAAGAUUAUGAUUUACUGGUUUGAUACAUUGAUUAUCUAAUGCCCCAUCAAUACAUUAAGGUAAAAAAAUCAAUCUUUCAGGAUGAGGAUGAUAGAAACUGCAAGAAUUGGAAUGUUUCUCUAUAAAUCUUUAAGGAUUCAGGAUGAUAUAAAAUUGCUAGUGAUUUAUUUGGUUUGGGUUAUCAGGUAAAGCUUACAGUGGUUUUAGUUAAUAACUGCUUUUAUAUAUAUACAUAUAUGAAAUGGCAGAAUGUUUAACACUAUAUUGGCGAGUUUCAGAUGGAAUAAAAAGGAAAG